rnacentral:antisense_RNA from 20 species
UGUGUGUAGUACUUGGCGGCAUCAGUUUUUCUUAGUCCUUUCUGAUGUCCGCCC